rnacentral:rRNA from 1 species
GUGCAGCCGCCGCGGUAAUACGGAGGGUGCAAGCGUUGUUCGGAAUUAUUGGGCGUAAAGCGCGCGCAGGCGGUCUUGUCAGUCAGGUGUGAAAGCCCAAAACUCAACCCCAAAUGGUCACUUGAAACAGCAAGACUUGAGUACUGGAGAGGAAAGCGGAGUUCCUGGUGUAGAGGUGAAAUUCGUAGAUAUCAGGAGGAACACCGAUGGCGAAGGCAGCUUUCUGGACCGAUAUUGACGCUGAGGCGCGAAGGCGUGGGUAGCGAACGGGAUUAGAUA